GCUAGAGAUCAAGAAUUAGAGCUACUCUUAAAACUCCUAUAUAGGAAUCGGCCUAACUAAGGCAUUUGUUCCUUUCAAUGUCACUUUGUGCAUAAAGGACUAUUUAUUUCAACAAUUUUUAACUUUUUGCUAGAGCAUAAAGCAAUUUAGUUAAUGCCCCUUCUUUGACUUUCAGCCUUCCAUCGGCAGUCGGGAGGAAAACAUCAAAUUGGCAUUUGAAAUGUUCUUUUAAUCGUGUAUAUUCCUAACAAAAGCUAAUUUAUAACAUUUGCUGGGAGGAAAUUUUCUUUGGGAGUUUCAUCUAA